AUGUUGGCCGCCGCCACCGCCGGCCGCCGCGCCAUCGCGCCGCAUCAGGAGAAGCGGCGUCGGAGCCGAAGGCCGCCGCCGUGCCAAGGUGUGGCGGAGAGAACUGCGCUCCGCAUGCACGUUGGCCGUCUCUGUUGCCGGGCUGCGUGGCGGGCCGUGGUGCUCCUCCGGAGGGAGGAGCGUUGCUGCCGGGAUGUGGUCGUCGCCGCUGUAGACGGCCGUGCCGAUGGAGGCCGCGGUGUAGCCUCAACCAUCCGCAUCCAGGGGGAAAAGGGAGGAGGAGAGUGGACAGGCGGCCGCCGCUUAGACCUUCCUCCGUCCGGAAUCGAGUCCGCUGAUCCGCGGCCGAUCUCAUUUAAGAGAGUGUGUUCGAGGCUUCCAAUUGUUGAAUCGAUGGAGGCUGGCGCUGCGUUCUUCCAUCAGUUCUUCUUUCUUUGUAGUUCACGAUUGAUCAAUUCUUCGUGA
rnacentral:rRNA from 1 species